UACGGGGGGAGCAAGCGUUGUUCGGAAUUACUGGGCGUAAAGCGCGUGUAGGCGGCUAAGCAAGUCGGGCGUGAAAUCCCAUGGCUCAACCAUGGAAGUGCACCCGAAACUGCAUAGCUAGAGUCCUGGAGAGGAAGGUGGAAUGCUUGGUGUAGAGGUGAAAUUCGUAGAUAUCAAGCGGAACACCGGUGGCGAAGGCGGCCUUCUGGACAGUGACUGACGCUGAGACGCGAAAGCGUGGGGAGCAAACAGG
rnacentral:rRNA from 1 species